UACGUAGGGUGCGAGCAUUGUCCGGAAUUAUUGGGCGUAAAGAGCUCGUAGGCGGCCUGUCGCGUCGGAUGUGAAAGCCCGGGGCUUAACCCCGGGUCUGCAUUCGAUACGGGCAGGCUGGAGUUCGGUAGGGGAGAUCGGAAUUCCUGGUGUAGCGGUGAAAUGCGCAGAUAUCAGGAGGAACACCGGUGGCGAAGGCGGAUCUAUGGGCCGAUACUGACGCUGAGGAGCGAAAGCGUGGGGAGCGAACAGG
rnacentral:rRNA from 1 species